UAGGGAAUAUUGGACAAUGGGCGAAAGCCUGAUCCAGCAAUGCCGCGUGAGUGAUGAAGGCCUUAGGGUUGUAAAGCUCUUUUACCCGGGAUGAUAAUGACAGUACCGGGAGAAUAAGCUCCGGCUAACUCCGUGCCAGCAGCCGCGGUAAUACGGAGGGAGCUAGCGUUGUUCGGAAUUACUGGGCGUAAAGCGCACGUAGGCGGCUAUUCAAGUCAGAGGUGAAAGCCCGGGGCUCAACCCCGGAACUGCCUUUGAAACUAGAUAGCUUGAAUCCAGGAGAGGUGAGUGGAAUUCCGAGUGUAGAGGUGAAAUUCGUAGAUAUUCGGAAGAACACCAGUGGCGAAGGCGGCUCACUGGACUGGUAUUGACGCUGAGGUGCGAAAGCGUGGGGAGCAAACA
rnacentral:rRNA from 1 species